CCUGGUUUUGUAACUAAAAUGGUUUGGCAGUGAGCGAUUCUUGUUAGGGGAAGAUGCAUAGUAAAGGAUGGUCCACCUAUUAUUUCACUCUUGUUAUGUUGGUGUAUAUCUGGUUUGAUAUUAUCGUUUAAUGGUUUGAGUUUGUGUAGUUUUAGUUAAGCCAAGUCUAUGUGCUGCUUAUGGGAGUUUUUGUGUGUUACAUUAAUAAGGGUGUUGUUGUAAUAUGAUAUUAUUUAGGACUUAAUAGUAAUGUUUAAAUUAGUUUGUUGAUGUGAAAUGAGUUUAGCUCA
rnacentral:rRNA from 1 species